CCUACGGGAGGCUGCAGUCGAGAAUCUUCCGCAAUGGGCGAAAGCCUGACGGAGCGACAUCGCGUGGUCGAUGAAGUCCUUAGGGACGUAAAGACCUUUUAUAGAUGAAGAAAUCAUUGACAUUAGUCUAUGAAUAAGGGGCUCCUAACUCUGUGCCAGCAGGAGCGGUAAUACAGAGGCCCCAAGCGUUAUCCGGAAUUAUUGGGCGUAAAGGGUGUGUAGGUGGUUGUAUUAGUCCUUUGUUAAAACUUCUGGCUCAACUGGAAGUUCGCGGGGGAAACGGUACAACUAGAGGGUGUGAGAGGUCUACGGAACUCAUGGAGUAGGGGUGAAAUCCGUUGAUAUCAUGAGGAACACCAAAAGCGAAGGCAGUAGGCUAGCGCACUCCUGACACUGAAACACGAAAGCGUGGGUAGCGAAAGGGAUUAGAUACCCUUGUAGUC
rnacentral:rRNA from 1 species